rnacentral:lncRNA from 1 species
UUUCUGCUUCCUGACCUUAAUUCUUUAAAGACAAAACUUAACAGUGAAUCAUUCACUGUUAACAGAUUAACCCAUUGCCACACUAAAACAAAAUUGAAGACUAAUGUAUUUUAGUGAUGCUUAAUGAACAAUUAUAGUAGCAACAAAUGAGGAAAUUCAAGUACAUUUAACCAACUUCUGUCUCAAAUAAAAUAUUGGCAGUAGGGUUGCAAUCAGAAUUGUAGAAGAAAUGGGUCAGUAUUACAUGCUGCUGCAAUGCUUUCAUGUGGAUUAUUAUUUUUACUUUUGCUCCCCUCCCCUCUUUAAAUCUGCUACAUGCUAAGAUUUUCACAUAUGUAGCUACCACCUGCUAAGAUGUGGUUUUGCCUCUGCGCAAGCAUGGAAUCCCCUUGACAGUCAUGUUUGCUUGUGUACCUCUAGCAGCUGGAGGAAGAAUCACAUCAGGCUGCAGGGUGUGAGCCGUGUCCCUCUCUGGGUCCCCCCAGUGAAUGCACUCCGAGGUCUACCUUCCUGUAGAAUGCGCUUUGGAGCAGGGUGGACUGUGGGCCAGGGACUUGUCUGGGCUUCCCAUUAAAGGGUAAUCCCUUCACAAAUAUGGGAAUGGGGGCUGCUCUGAGUCUGGCAAAUAAUAAACAAUGAGGGUUUUUUUUUUAUCCUGGAUUCCUCCAGCCCUCUCUGUAGCCCUCAGCAAUAACUUAGCCCUUGUCUUCCUCUCUGAAGGAUUUAAAUGGAAUGACCUUAAUUCUUGCUUUGUUUGCACUCUAUCUUUUAAGGAGCUUCAGUGAAGACCAAGACAAACAGUAGAUUAACAGUGGUACCUUUUAUAAAGCUGAUUAGUUCCUAAAAUAUGCUGAAAGGAAACAAAACCAAAAAGAAAAAAAAAUGAGAGUGGAAUAGGGGCUAAGACAGAAGCCUUUGUCGGUGAGUUUGAAACAGCUCUGUUCUUUUCAGUAGUUGCAGAUAUUGGCCUUCCA